rnacentral:rRNA from 1 species
UACGUAGGGUGCAGGCGUUAAUCGGAAUUACUGGGCGUAAAGCGUGCGCAGGCGGUCUUUUAAGUCAGAUGUGAAAUCCCCGGGCUUAACCUGGGAACUGCGUUUGAAACUGAAAGGCUAGAGUGUGGCAGAGGGGGGUGGAAUUCCACGUGUAGCAGUGAAAUGCGUAGAUAUCUGGAGGAACACCGGUGGCGAAGGCGGCAUCCUGGACCAACACUGACGCUGAGGAGCGAAAGCCAGGGGAGCAAACGGG